rnacentral:lncRNA from 1 species
UGUCGGCUUAUUUAUUAAACGAGUCUAGUUUGUGUCGGCUUAUUUAUUAAACGAGUCGAAUGAGAAUUGGCUCUAUUUUGCUUGUGUUUGUUGACAAUUCUAAUUAAAUUAUUGUAAAUUGCCUCGGCGAAUUUGCAUAAGAAAAUCAAUUAAUUUUGUAUUUUUGCAAAAAAAAAAAUAUUAAUUUUUUCGUUUUUGUCGAUUCAAUCUGAAUUAUUAAUAAAUUGAUUAAAUUAUUAUUAUUAUUUUUUUAAUUUUCAUGUUUCUCUUCCUUCCACUCUUUUCUGUUUUUUUUUUCUUUAUUAUUUUUUUUUCCUGUUUCUUCUCUCUCUUCGCCUCUUCAAUAUAUAGGGGAGGAGGGAUAAGAAGUGGGAAAAAAAAGAAAGAGAAUAGAGAUAUUUUCAUUACUUUCAUAAAAAUUUAGUGAGAAUUUAUAAAGUUUGAAAAUAUAGGCUGAUUUUGCAUUGCAAAUAUGCAAAAUUGAUAAGUUUUUUAUACAAAAAAGGCCACUUAAAUUUGCCAGUAGCUAAAAUCUUUUUAAUUAAUUUUUUUUUAUGGUGCUAAAGUUAAUUAAAAUAAUAACAACUGAAAUUUACUGUUAUAUUUUCUUUAUUCAUUUAUGUGUUAGUCUAACAAAUUUAAUAAAAUAAAAAAAAAGUAGAAUAAUCAUAUGUACUGUAUUUGACUAAAAGCAUAACAUUUGGUACCGAUGUUUUCAGUUUGAAGUCCAGAUGCUUUGUAUUUUUAGUUGAAUUUAUUUCUAAAAUAGUGAAGUGGCAAAUUUUGCUUUUUUCUCUCAAACAAAAUGACAAAAAUAGUAAAUUUGUUUACUUAAAUUUUAGUUUUAAAAAAAUAUUCUUGAACUUUGUAAGCAAUGAGAAAAACAAUUUCUGAUUUUUGAAAAUCCAAAAUAAGCAGAUUUGUUUUGAAAUAUAUUGUGAAUCUAACCUGUUUUGGAAAAUUUCACUUCAUUUAUGCGGAAUUUUUUUAAUGUAAAUUGUUCACAAUUAUUAUAAAAAUUAAGUUUGUUUAGGGAUAUUUCAAUUUUACAUCAUCACUCCCCUUUACAUUCCCAUAAAAAGGGCAGAGCAGAGAAAAUAUCUUUAAUUGUAACAGUCGUACUAUACAAACCAACCAAACUGUGCCGUAUAAUCAUAACUAAUAUACACCUGUGCUUUGCAGUGGGUCGAUAGUAUUUCAAAUAAUUAAUAUAUAUAAUUAUUUAAAUUUUAAAAUUAAAAAAUAUAAAAAAUUUAUAUAGUCUUUUAUAUAUUACUAGUUGAUUGUACAUACAAAUACACAUAACAAUUAUUUUAAUUUAUUUUAAAACCACUAUUAAAUAUUUUCAAUAUGCGUUAUAUAUUUUUAUACAGAUCCGAUGUAUCUAAAAUCUUUAUUAGAUAUGUAGAAAGUAUUUAUUCAACCUUGCCUCAAGUGGAGACGUGGCUCAUUGAGAAGUUGCUUUUAUGAUGUGAUGAACUGUCAAAUUAUAUAAUCUUAUCUUAUAGAUUAUAGAUUACCAGUUUACACACUACCUUUUUUAGAUAUUUGGUAUUAAAUCAGAUAUUAAAAUAGCCUUUUGUUAAUAAGCAAAUAUGAGAUUUAGUCUAAGCUAUUUUUCAUAUUGGAAGAUUCUUGCUUUAAGGAGCAUGAACAAAUAUAUAGAUAUAUAUAUAUAUAUAUAUGCAAUAAUUCCACCAGUUUUUGAUAUAUAUUGUUUUAUUGUAAUAUAAAAUUCUUCUUAUAUUUUAAAAAAUUAGAACUUUCACAGAAAUAAUAUAUAAAAAUUUAACUUUAUAAAAACAUAUUUAUAAUUUACUAUAUUUGUAGAAAUCUAUAUGCAUUUAACUCUUUCCUUUAAUUUAUGUCUUUUAUUUAUGGUGCAACUGGUCAUUAAUUUUAGCUACACUACUUUGUUGUAUUCUUUGCCCUUAAUUGCACUUUUCCCUGCCUCUCUGGCUCGCUGCAAUUUUGGUUUUCACCACAGUAUCCGCCUGUCAGCCACUUUUCCUGUUUCAAAAUCUUAUCAAACAUUGCAGUCUGCUUUCACACCCAUCGAAUUCUUGAUCUUGAGCCAGCCUGCUUUUCGUCGCAGCAAAUUCUCCAUCUUGGGGUCUUGACAGUUACUCAGCCGCGGCAGACGUUAAAAUUCUUGGUGAAAUUGCGGGGGCUGCAAGCCAAAUUUCGGCCGUCGAAUCGUAGACGACAUGUUAAAGUACGAUUCAACACCGAGGCUCUCGAUGAUCGAAGAUACAAAAGCUCAAGUGACAGUUGAUCAGCGUGUUCGUGACAUUGUUUUACGUGUUAGUCUCGUUAGCUAGAUCGUCCUAUCAUUUCGAUUCAUUUUUGAAAAGCUUUUAUUGAUUCAAUUCCUAAAGGCUAAGGAUUAAUGUCUCGUUUGUCCCUUUCCGAUCAUCUCACUUUGCUCAUUCCACUUUCAUAGAUUCGCUUGGUUCGUCGAAACCGUUUGAGAGUCAAAGAAGAUCGAUUGCUCUUCGACAUUUUGAACUCAUUGGGGUACUGUAAAGGAGAGCGAUCGAUUUGUCGGGGACUCUUUCCUUUGAUCAUCCCCUUCCUCGACUUUUCGGAGCAUGCUUUGAUGCCAAAUAUCCUAUUUUGAAGCUUUGUUUCGUCAUUUGUCAAAUGUUCAUAUCGAUUUUGAUGGUUAUGCACUAUUUUCGGGUCUUUUGCGUCGCAGCCCGAUAUCGGCUAGUAACUUGAAUAUGAAGUAUAGCAUAUUAGAGAUGAUGGUGCUUCUGCUAUCUACAAGUGCAUUGAUGCGACUACGUAGUCACAUAUCUAUGUUAGCAAUCGUCACCGAUAGUCGAAUACUACGACUUACAUUCGAGCUAAAGAUGUGGUAGAGUCGUCUCCCCCUCGAUGUUUCGUGAUAUGUUUUAACAAUUUUUGCACACCUUGAUGUCCUUCAAAUGCUUGUAUACUCAACACUUAGAAAUGAAUAUAUUUAGAAUCUGUCUCUCUCUCUCUCUCUUUUGUUUUUUUGUUUUUUUAAAAAAACUUUUGAUGUAGAAUUCAGUGAAAAUGCAAAUCUAAUCCCUUCGACGGAAACGUGUAGCGCCUUUUUUGAUCUCGCGCUUGGUCGAUCCGGGAUCGACGGGGUUGAUCAAUGCGGGCUCUCUAAAUGUCGUUGAAGGUCCUCUAGUGACCAAACUCGUAGUAGACCGAGUUAAGAACGAGCUAGGUCUUGGUUCUACCUUUCAAGUCCCUCCAGAAUCCAACAGUAAGAACGGAAAUGAACCGCUUUUGGAUCGAGCCUGCCCAUGAGUGCAUCUAAUUCGGUCUAACCAAAUCCCAACAUUCGAAAAGAGAAAUCUCUCUUUUAUAUGUUCGGUAUCUCGAUCGCAUCAGCUUAAUUUGUUUAAGGUUUCCCAAUGAUUGCUUUUCUAAUUUUGAGUGCAACUACAGAACGUUUGCGUAACUCUCACCAACCGACCAAUUAUACCGCACAGCUUGAGUAAAUAAAAGAGAUAUGUUAAACACAAAAUUCGUCGACCCAAACAAACCCGUCGCGUACUAAAACUAUCUUAAAAUUAGCAUCAACAGUUGACUAGUAGCUAAUGCUUCUUGCAACAAGAACAAAAGAAUAAUCUAGCGAAGAAAGGUUAUAGAAUUCUUUCCUCUACUGAUCCUAAUUCAGUUUUAUGCUUCACUGGAAUUAUGUUACCAAAGGAAAAAAAAUCAAAAUCGACGAAAACGUAACAUUUAGUUGCACUUGAUUUAGUUUUGCUAAAGAUCAAUCAAUAGGGUUCCAAUGAAGGAAAAAAUAGAGAGAAGGGGAGCCAGAGGACCCUAUUAAAGUGGCGGUAAUACGAUAGCAAUAUGAUGCACAAGCCAAAAAAGAAGUUCCAUUUUGUUCAUCGUUGUUUGAUGCGACGAUCCGAUACAAUGAUUUGAUUUUUAUAGAUCAACGAGCUUACAAAGAAAUAGGGAUAACCCUCGACUUAAUUCACGGAACUUUGAAUGACUUGAAUGGCAAAGAGUCUAGCUUAUAAAACCAAAUUGUGUAAAGUUUCAAAUAGUUAAUGCCAAAGAAGCGAUAUCUACUGCAACAUAAGAGAUGAAAUAGAUGCUCAAACAUAAAUAUUAGUCGAGUUCAAGUAACUCCUUAGCAAAGUCCAAUGCAUCAAGCGAACUAAUCUCAUCGCAAAACAUCAUCUGCAAUUGUAUUCACACUUUUACUAAUUCCAUAUAAGAAUUGUAAGGAGCUAGUGAAGUUGUUAGAUCACAAGGAACUCUACAUCAUGUUGAUGAAAUUGUUCCUAUUGUCGAAACGCGUACUUUUGACGAAAGAGAGCAUACAAAAUCAAAUUCCGAGAGGUCGAAAUGCAUCAAGCAUUGUUUCCUCUUCACACAUGAAGAUGUCUAUGAACAAACAAGUACUUAUCGGAAAAACAAAUGCGAAAUAGUUUGAGCAGUAGCAUUCUAAGAUGCUUUCAUACCACAAACCAUCUAAAUCGACAGCGUAAGUUUUGAAUCGCGCUUCAAAUUUUAAAUUAGGUGCUUUGUUUGAAAUUUAUGCUAUGAUGAUUUGAAGCAUACCAAACAAAUCAUGAUUAGUAAAAACAUUUGUGUCACUUCGACGCCGUUCAAACAGCGUUUAAUCUCUCGUUUCUGAUCGGAUUUCGAUGAUUCAAAGUGUGACUAUUAGCUAUGCUCUUCCUCUAUCAUUUGAGAUCAACAAAACACACCAAAGUGAUCAAAGGAUCCUUCUAAUAGGCUAAAAACCUCAUCAAACUCACACAGAAACCUUGUGCAUGACCAGUGUCGCUUCAAAUUUAAAUUUCUCUCAAAAUGUGGGACCAUUUUAAACAAAUUUGCACUCAUUUGAAAGCUAAGGUCCAGAGCUUCAACUUGAUUUAAAUUUCAUUUGAAUCCAUGGGCCACAGCUAAAGUUAUUGAGAUUUAAAUUGGAGGGAAAAGCACACUGAAACUUUGGCCAAUCCCUUUGUAGUCCUACCUAUGCUCUAUCCUGGCUCCAUCCAUUUACCCACUCCCUACCGUUGAUGCGAGUUUAGAUCGAACGGCCCAUAUUUGAAAAUAAGGAGGGAGUAAUCCGAGUGCGGGCAUGUUGACCAAUAACACAGCCCCACGUGUCGUCCGCUCUCUCACAUCGCCCACUAUUUAAAUCCAUUUCGUUCUCUUCCUCGCCCAUCAUCGUCAACCUACGCUCUCUCUCUCUCUCUCUCUCUCUUUCUUACUCUCUCUCAUAACCGAUCGCGUUCGUCUACGGGAGACUCUAACCCUAACCCUAGCUCGAUUCUAUACGCUCCCCGAUCCAUGGCGACGGAGGAGGAAGCGGCGGAGGGCGGCGCCGCCCCGGUGGAGGGGGCGGCGGAGGAGGAGCCCGCCGCCGAGAACGACGCCGCCGCGGCGGAGGGAGCCGCGGUGGGGAACGCGAAGAAGCAGCGCGCCCCGAAGGAGCCCAAGGAGAAGAAGCCGCGGAAGCCCCGGUCCCCUCCCUCCCAUCCCCCGUACAUCGAGGUGAGCAUCGCAUUGAAUGGAAUCUUAGCUUCGUUUCCUCUGUUGUGUGGUUUUGGGAUGUGAAAUCGGGAUCCGAGUAAAACCCUAACGUUUGACCCUAACCCUAACCCUAACCCUAAACGCAGAUGAUCGGGGAGGCGAUCACCGCAUUGAAGGAGAGGACGGGGUCGAGCCAGUACGCGAUCACGAAGUACAUAGAGGAGAAGCACAAGGAUCAUGUACCCCCCAACUUCAAGAAGCUCCUCCUCUUCCACCUCAAGAAGCUCACCGCGAGCGAUAAGCUCACCAAGGUCAAGAACUCCUACAAGCUCCCCCCGCUCCGCGCCCGCGCCCCCGCCUCGGCCUCCGCCCCCGCGCCCGAGCCCAAGCCCAAGCCCAAGCCCAAGUCGAAGCCCAAGCCCAAGCCAAAAGCUGCCUCGGCGAAGCCCAAGCCCAAGCCGAAAGCCGCGGCGGUGAAGCCGAAGCCCAAGCCCAAGCCGAAACCGAAAGCAGCUGCGGCUAAGCCCAAGCCCAAGCCGAAAGCGGCGGCGCCUCCGGCGAAGCCGAAGACGAGGGCGGCCACGAGGAAGACGAAGGCCAAGUAGUAGUAAGAGUCGUAGCAUUUUGUUUUUGUUUUUGUUUUGUUUUAUUUUUAUUUUUAAUUGUUUUCUCAUCUUUUUUUUUCUUUUCACCCUUUUUUUUUUUAAUUUUGUUUUUGAGGUAGUGGCAGUGUUUGUAAAUUGGAUAUUGCGAUAGGGGUAUGUUUGGACGGAAUUUGUGUUGUUUUCUUCAGCAGGAGUAUUUGCUAUUAUUAGCUUUAAAGAGUUAUCACACCUAUUCCCAUCUUUAAUUAAUUUCAUAUUUUGUGAGUUUGUGAUAUUUCUAUUUUAUUUGUUUGUUUUUAUUCUAAAUAAUGUUCACGUGCUACAGCGUUCCCUGAUUGGGGGAAGCAGCUAUUAGUGCUAAUAAAUAAUGUGAUAAUAAUAAUAAUAGGUAUUUAGGUGCGUAGUUUUUGCAUGUGGUGGUGCUUGAGAAUUUUAUUAAAUUUAUCAAAAAUUAAUUAGUUAUGAUUUAUAAACAAUGUAUAUUUAUGAAAUUUGAUUAGAUUUAAACAUAAAAUUAGAAAUUAAAAAAUAGUUUAGUCUAGUCUUAAAUUAAUAGAUGAAAUACAGGAUUUUAGAGAAGCCCGUAGUUGGAGAAAUGAUUUAUUUGAUUGAUUAGGAAUGAUAUGUUACUAAUAUAACCGGUGUAUCUAUCUUUAUCUUUAUGCAUGUUUACGGACUAUGUUAAGUUUGUUUGAGUGGGUGUAAGUUAAGGAAGGUACGACUCUGACUAGUCACGUAUCGUUCCUAUGGUGUAUUAGAUAGAUGGGUAUUUGAUCAAAGGAUGCUUGCUAAGGUUGAGAUAUGGCCGAUAUAUGCCGUAGGAAUGUCAUUGUCAGGUGACUGACUAGAAGUGGCUGCUAAAUAAAUCAACGGUGUUUCAAAGGAAAGCUCUGCUGUUCUGUCUCCUCGCGCACAAUGCUCUAAUAAGCCGCAACCUAUUUUUACGCUGCCAUCUAACAAAACAGUUUCCAACUUGUUCGCAGGCUGAGGCUGCUUGACCAGCUACAAUCGACAAAAUUUGAAUGUAGAGUUUCUCCUCUUAAGGGGGAAAAAUUUUAGAAUGGUAUGUCAGUGACGUGGUGCGUAACAAAUCAAUCAAAAAUUUUCUUUUAAAAAUAUAUGUUUCAUUAUGAUUAUAAAAAAAAUAUUUUUAUUGUACUUUUGUUUGAAAAGAAGAAAGGUGAUUGGCUUGUUAUUGAUAAUGUGGUGCAAGUGUGAUAAUAUAAAAUUUCUCCUUAAGAAGGGGCUUGCUUAGAUUUAGUAUUUAUAAAUGCAAUAUAUAUAUAUAUAUAUAUAUAUAGAGUCCGGCUACUAUACUCUUAUGAGUACGAUCGUCCUCGUACUUAUAAGUCGUUUUCAAUAAUAAAGCUUCCAAUUCGACGAUUCAUAUCGUUAAACAUUAUCUAGAAUAUUUAAAACUUCUAGAAAUCAAAUUUUAUAAAUUUUUGACAUCAUUUAUCUUAUAAUCAAAAGGUCACAAAAUUGACAAUUUUUAACGGUCGGUAUGGCAUACUUGGUAGUUUAAUGGUGUAAAAAAAUCGGAAUCGGUUGAAUUUUUGAUAGAAAAUUCUAUUCACUACUUAGAUAAAAUCAAUAACUUCGACCUUAAAUUGAAAGAUCUAAUCAUCUAUUUUUAGGACGUUGUUUGAUUUCGACUGUUCAUUUUAUACCCACUUGAUGAACUUUAUUAUAAUUUUAAAAAAUUAUGAAAUUUAUUGUUUAGAAGUUUCAAAUACUCUAGAUCACAUUUAAUGAAGUGGAUCGUCGAUUCGAAAGUUUUAUCAUCGAAAAUAACUUAUAAGCAAAAAGAGCGUUUUACUAUUAAUAGUAUUCCAACCUAAUUCUAUAUAUAUAUAUAUAGAGAGAGAGAGAGAGAGAGAGAGAGAGAGAGAGAUGUAAUUAAAAAUACCCACCUUAUUUAGUUGCAUGUGAUAUAAAACGCUAUAGUUAUAAAUAAAUUGUUUAACUGCAUAUAGUUGAGAAUUAUAGAUUACUCCCAAUAGAAAUUAAAACGAUAUUUUCUAUUUAAGAGAUGAGUAGAAAGGAUAAACUUAUUUUUUGUUUGAACAUGUUCUUUUCAACUACUACUACAAUUAAAAUUGCAAGUAAUUUGUGCAUGAUUCUAGCUGCUGUAAUUAAAUCUUAUUGAGUGCCUCUUAUUAAGGUAGCUAAAUUCAAAGCACUAAAUCAAAGUUUCAGCUUUUAGGGUUCGAGAGUUUAACUUAGCUUGGUGUCGUACUAGAAACUCCAGACUUUCUUAUUUAAGAAAUGAAAAGUAGAAUCAAAAGCAGAAACCAAACAAGUAACAGAAGAGUAGCGUAUUAAGCAAUAGCAACACAAACAGGGAGACUACUGGCUUCGAAAACAACACCAAUGGCUCAAUCAAAUUGUAUUUUACAGAAACAUUCCAUCAUAUAUCUUCUUUACUCCUUGUGACUCCCACAAUUCAAAUUCUACCCCCCCCCCUAGCUUCUUCCUCUGUAUUGGAGGAACCUUGUAGAAGAAUUGCACUUGAAAGUUUUUAUUCUGUAUUAAUUCACAACAAAAGGGAGACGAAAAAAAGAGGAAGAAGAAAAGAAACGGAAUAAAACGCCGCCUCUUUCGUCCCACAAUAUCGAAAAUUCUGACACACUGGAGAGAAAAUCAAUAUGUAAAAAGUGAGUUGAUGAAUAAGACAACAAUUUAAUUAAAGUAUAUCUCUAGUCCUCAAAACCUAGUAACUAGAUUCAGUUUGGCCUCCAAACAUUUCAGUAAUUAUAUUCUAGUCCCCUUUGAAAUAGGCUCAUUUUGAAAUGGGAUCCUCAUAACUGCUGUAAUUUUGAGUGAGAACACCACAACAUGCAAUUAUCCAAUUUUAGUUAUUUCACUAAAUUCAAUUGAAAAUUUGUUAAGUUAGCUGUUUCAUUAGCUAAGAAUCAGUAAAAUCUUGUUACUAAAAAUUCACGGGUGUAUCAACUGAAAAAUUGUUGAGAACAGUUAAAUUUAACACAUGCACCAUGCACCGCUAAAUUUAACAAAAUCUCUAAUUUGAUGAAAAUAACUUAAAAGAAAGAAAGGGAUGCCUAAUUUUUUUUUUUUUUAAAAAAAAAACUUGAGUGGUCAAUUUCAAAAUUGCUCACUGUUGAGGGGGCCUCCCAACAUUUUUACCUUUUGUUAUAAUCUACAUAAUCAUCAUCAAAAUUCCACACAAACAGACUUUGGACUAGCUAUAUAGUAAUUGUGGGAUUUCGAUCCGAUCCAGUUUUAUCGAGAACUAUUAAGAAAACAGCAAAGAUGCAAAUAGAAUGGUUGGUGGCGGUCGGUGGCCAAACUAUAACUGCUUAGAAAGGUCAGGGACUUGUAAUGGAACUUAUAAUACGGUUGAAGAGAUUGAGGAAGGCAUACCACUGUAUAACUAUUGAUUUGUUUUUGCCCAAAAAUUGCUUUUUCCUACUGUUGAAGAGAUAUGACCAGCUAUGAAUUUUUCAGCCGACGACCCCUUCUCGCGAACAAACUUUACAGACUCCGACAGUCUAUUGAGAAGGUUCACUAGAGCGAUCACUUCAUUUCGCUGCAGCUGUAACUGAAAAAUCACCAACAAGAGUGUAUUACGACUUACGCAAUGAGUUAUUAAAGGAAAAUUAUGAAAAGAAUAGGAGAUUUCAGUAAUAUCAAUACUCUUGAGUAGUAUCAAUACUAACUUUAAAUAUGUUGACGGACAUACACCCUGCAAAGUCUCGAUUUCCUUAUAUACCCUUCAAAUACUUAAUUUCUUACUUAUCUACUCUUGCGCUUAGUAAAAUGUUCUUAUUUGAAAAGAAAUCAUUUUGUACGAAACAAAAUUCUCAUUAAUUGGAUGACACUCAAUUUCUCAAUUUAAAAUAUUCAUAUGUUUGGAAGAAAUUUCGAUAUUGAGUUGUAUAUAUGAAAAUUCAGCUUUCAUAGGUUUAUAAGGGCAAACAAAGAUGAGAAAACAUACAGGUUGAUACAAGGGGUGCUGUUCCUCGACAGAGAAAAGAAUCUUCAAUGCAGUCCCUAGUCCUAGAACUUGAAGCUUUCCCCAAAGGCGGCACUUUUCACAUCCAACACAAUCCAUCAGUGCACUACAAUAGGCAUAUGGAAUUGGUCAUUUCAACUUUUCCUAUGCAUCAGAACUUAGAAGAGAUUUUUUUUAAUAUAUAUAUAUAUAUAUAUAUAUAUAUAUACCCAUGCAAAGUUAUCAAUUCUACACGGAUAUCCCAGAAAAAUAUGAAUUUUCAUAAGAUAAAUCCAUAUCUGUAACUUUGUACUUGCAAAACUUCCCCUCUUUAAAAAAUAUUUGGUAAUACAAAACUAACUUCUGGAUGACUACCUAUAUUAAGGUGAAGAAUUUUUUUUUUUCCCUUUUUAAAGCAUUUUUGAGCAGUACAUAUGAAAAUUCAGAUUCUAUGGGGGCAUACUUCAAUAGAAAAUAUUGUAGACUUCUAUGUGUAGAAGAACCCUGAAAUCGUCGAUAUUGCAAAUAUAAACCUGAUGUUUCUGAACUGCUUCUGGAUCUGUUGCUUCAGCUCAGGCCCAUUUUCACCUUGCCAAAGCUUGGCUUCAUCAAAUGGUAGUGGGCAAGUAGCCUGCAGCUUAGGAUUGUAGAGGAGCUGCUUCACUAGAGAUUGUGUUUUCAGGUCCUCUUGAGGGUUCUCAGUGUUGUACUCAGCCUGCUCUAAAUAAUCUGCAGCCUGAAACCAAUCCAGGAGAACUACUAUUUAAGUUUCAAGACUAAGGGGACUUCUGUAUGCAUAAGACUGAAACACAUGUAUUUGGGUGCAUAUCCCUCAAAAUUUGCAAGUUGAUCAGCUCAUAUUUCUGUGUAGAUCUCUUUCACCUGAGAUUUUCACAAGCUGAAAAGAUGGAUUCCUAUGCUAAAAAAGAGACCAUUGGCUGAAAGUUUCAGGAGGAAUCAUAAUUUCAACUCAAAACAAAUACAAGCUCUCAAUCAAUAGGGUGAACGAGCAAACAUGAGCUAUUUCUAAUUUUUGAAGAGCAUGCAUGCCAAUAUGGGCUAUAUUAUCUAUAUAUGACGUGUUAGACACCAAUUGCAAAUUUUGAGGGUGAUACAAACAAACAUACCCAGACUAAGACUCUAGGAGUAGUACUUGCUAGUGUUAAUAUCUAUGAGGAAUUGAAUUACAGGAAGAAAAAGCAGACAUUAUGUCAAUGAGUAGCAUGUAAACAUUAAAUUUGUAUCAUAUAAGAACUGGUUACCUUUGUCACUGCUCGAAGAACAAAUAGGUAUGUGAAAUACAGAUUUCUAACAUGAUCUGGAUACUUCAAAACACGAUCAUACAACAAUCCAAGAUUGUGGCCCCACUGAAAUGAUUACAAGAUAGAUUAGAAAAUAAUGUGCUAUAAAAAGAAUCAAUGCUGGUAACCGCGCAUUAAAGUGUGAGAUGAAAAUACCAAGUUAGUAGAUUCAUCAAGGAGAUAAUCAGCAGCUAUGUGUACUGAAAUUGAGGAAUGCAGGCCUGAGAUCAACUUAUACAACACCUUCUUCUCCUGGCAAAGCUCUUCUGAAGGAUCUGGAGAAGACAGAGUCAAAAGAAACAAAAAAAGGUUAGGGCAUUCAAACAAAUAUGAUUCUCUACAAUUGUAACAGCAUCUAUAUGAGGUUAUAAUUCCAUAAAAACACGACAAUUGGCAAUUUACCGAGUUUGCCCUUACAAACUCAAGAUUUGUUGAUGUAAUUUUAACUAUUGUACCAAGUAGACUUACAAAGACAAGUAAUUUUAACUAUUGUACCAAGUAGAGUUAGAAUUUUGCCAUAAAUAUACAAUGAAAACUAGGAACUGUACAAGAAAUCGACUAACAUUUUGGACAAUUUUCUUUGUAAAUAGCAUCCCAUAUUCUCCUAGCUGAUGCACCAAUAUACCCAGUAAAACGCUCAGGGUUUAGCUGGAGGUUCACAUAAGUCAUCUCAGCUGCAAAAGAAAAACAACUAUCAAAUGUCAAUCCACCAAAAAAGAAAAAAGGAGUAAACGAGUAAUGUUAUAGGUAUAUAGCCAAGUGCACCCUAACAUGUAGUUGAUGAGUCACAUGGCAGCUAGCCAAUUAGAUGCCACAUUGAAGUCUGACCCAUCAGCUACAUCUAGGUACACUCCGAGAGAAUCAUAGAAUUACGCUCCAAAAUAUAAUCAUAUUGCAAAAAGGACCAAAUAGCACAUAGCUAACUAAAAGCAGUACCAUUGUCAGUUUCAUCAUCAUAUGUCCAUGGAUUGUCGAUUUCAAUCCACCCUUUGAAUACUUUACUAUCAAUUGUUCUAUCCACGGUAGCCUGGGGUUUUCCUUCUUGGCAAAUCAUAUCAUCAGUGGAAAGACCAUUAUACGGUUUUUUAAAAGGCUCCGGAAAUUCAUUUUCAGGGCACUCGCAGACAGUGCAAUCCCUUAGACGGCACAUUCCAUCAUCGGGCCAGAAUGGACAGUCGCACCAUAGCUUAACCUAUCAAACAACAAAGAGAAAACACAAUUAAAAAACCGAACACUUAGAAAUUUUUAAUUACAGAAUCUGCUUUGUUUCUUUUCCUCAGAUGGUUGGUAACAGUCCACCAAACUCCCCAUCCAAUGUGGAUGGUUGUUUUUCCCAAAAAGAUAAAUGAUGUCUCCGAGAUUACAAACAAGUUUUGUACAUAUAAUAUGUACAAUACAGUAGAAUCUGGUAUCACAUUUAGCAAAUAUCCAUUGAGGUUCAGGAGAAUCAGGACCAAGGUGUGAUUGUGCAUUUUGAUCCCAAUUGGAUAAAAAUAUAUACUAUCCUUAUGCCUCUUUUAUGUCAUAGGGGGAGAGACCAUAUGAAGGCAUAAGCCAUGAAAACUAAUCGUGACUAGGAGGGACGGGUUAAGGUUACAAGGUAAUAUCUUUGAUAAUUUUGUGCACUAUAUCUUCUCAUGCCUUGCUCUUAGAAACUGCUAAACUCCAUGACAUUUUUUAGAAGUACUAGCAACACUAGAAUCUAAAUGAUCGCUCUAUAACUUUUUAUUGUGUACAGAACAAGGAUGCUUCAAGAAAUAGAAAUUGUCCAGUCUCUAAUUAUUGAUAACAAACUAUUUGUUUAAUCUUGCUGGCGGCACAAUUAGACAUUAUUUGAACCUACAUUGAGCAUACAAAAAAGAUGGAUGCUUGAUUUUGCAAAGUCAAUUAAAUAUCUCAAUUUAAAGAGUUUGAGUCAAGAGUUGUUGAACUAGCUAAUUAACUGUUGUCAAGACAAGAAAAAAAACAUCUUGCUUCCUACAUCACAUCGAGCAAGAUAUGAAAGAGGCAACUGGUUUGAAUUUUGAUAAGAAGUAAAAAGUAGACAACUAGGAUCAAAUAUACACUCAAUAGGCCAAAAGCAGAAGCUCCAACAUAAAUCUAUACUUCUAGCUUUAGACCGAAGUUAAUUGCAGGAUUUCUAAUGAAGAAGCUGUUAGGGUUUCUUUUAGCAGCUGUUUUCAUAUAGCAUUUCUGCAGAAGUUCUGGCACGGCCAACUGACCCUAGCACAAUAAAUUAUCUAAAUUUCCCUAAAAUUACUCAUUUUAACUUUUAAUCUAUCCCUCGUAAACUCUUUUGAGACCACAUCCAUCUACCUCAGUACAAACCAGAAACUGUAACCGUUACAAUCACCAAAUAGCAGUUGGAAUCGGACAACCAAAAAUUCCUUCAAAUUUUACCUUAAAGUACCGAAAGAAAGGCGUGGCGACGAGCUCCUGCAGAAUCGGAUGCAACACUUCCUCGUUGAUCGAAUCCACCGUCUCGUAAUCGCAGCAACAGUCCUCCACCAUUCCCGUGUACCUCCUCGAAUCCUCUCCCUUCUUAACCUAAUCUUCCCCCAAAAGUCAAACACACAUCGAAUAACAUACUUCAAACGCAUCCAAUUCCAUUCGGAACUAGGGAUUAGGCGAUCAUCGCAAUUAGAUUGGGGGGUUGGUGGGUGAUCUUACGGGGCAUUCGCAGAUCCCGGGGAUGGAGAGCCUGGGGAAGCUCCUGGAGCUCGCGGCGGUGGCGAGGAGGAGGGCGACCACCGCCCCCGCUGCCGCCGCCGCCCAAAACCAUCGCCGCCGCCGCCUGUCGCCGCCGCCGCCGCCGCCGCCGCCGCGGUGCUCUGCCUCCGCCAUCGGGGAUCAGAGCCCUAGGUUUCCCCUCCUCCCCCGCGAGAUCGAGAUCAUAUAGAACCGGGAUGNUAGAACCGGGUUGGGGGGGGGUUAGGGUUUUGGAGACGUUUCACUUCGAGGUCGACGAUGCGAAGAGGGAGGGGUUGGGGGUUGGAAAAUGGCGGUUCCGAGAACGACGAGUUUCAACUUUUAAUCACGACGCGUAAUAAAUCGCUUGUUGAGUCUUUCAAUAGAGGGACACGGUGGUAACCGUUACAUAUCACGGGUGUCACUAUGACACGCGGGGCCCACAUGUCAGAGUAGUGGACGUCACCGACCUGUGACGUGGCAGCUUUCCGCGAUGGCAUAACCUGAUUGGUUGGAUGACGUUGCAGCUUGGAUAUAGUUGACCAAAUCUACAUGGCUUGACUUUGUUGUCUUUAUUUAUUUCUCCUUUUGAAAAAGGCUUUUAUUGGAACAUUAUCGAGCGAGAAAUAUUUAUUUAUUUAUUUAUUUUGGUAUAUUGGGAGUAAUUAAAAUUUAAAAAACAUUUUUUUUUUCGAUAUAAAAGAAUCAACAUUAAUUAAGAUAUAUUAAGAAAGAAAAGAUGGACUUGCCAAAAGUUCCUCGAAAUUUCCGCAAUGGACGAAAAUGAAAGUUCUAGAAAGAUCUGGAUGUCAGUUUUAUUCCAUGAACCUAUUGUUAAGGUUGAAUGUUUGAAUAUAGAUAGAUAUAUAUGCUAGGUAGGUUUUGUGAACUUGCAUUUGGCAUUUGCUGGAACAUUUGUAAACAUAUAUAGAUGUUAUCUAUACCUCUAUACCUGUACUUAUACCAGUACAUUAUUUCUUAUUAAGUUUGUCACGUAGCAAUUCCUUCUUCACCUCACCCUUCUCACUCUCUGAUGCUUCGUCUUUCCACCUCAUUUUUAUUCGAUACUUUAUCUUUCUACCCGCCCACCUCAUCUAAACAAAUCGCUUAAAAAAAGAGUAAAAUAGGAUCUCUUCAUAUUUAUUUUUAUCACAUUUUUUUUUUCUUUUUGCUUUUUUUUGGUGCACAAGAAGGGUUUAAUUUUUAUAUUUUUCUUAAUUUUUUUUAUUUUGUAAAAUUGUGUGUGGAUUAAAAUCAGGGUUCCGAGGAUUGCAGCAACGCGACGAGGUUAAGUGCAAUGAAUUUGGAGUCGAUGAGGGUGUGUUUAGAGCAGUAACUCAAGGGUUACUGCUUCUUUCAUUAUUGUUAUAUUGUAACUUUUGCUAUAUUUGUAUAUAUCUAUUUUAUUUUUUUAUUUAUAUCUAUUAAUGUCUCAUAACAAGUCAAAAAUUUUAAAAUUUUAAUUUUGUCAAUUUUUUCUUCUACAGUAUUAACCCAUCGCAACGCACAGAUAACUUCACUAAUAAAAACUAUAUUUUAAUUUAUGAGCAAUUAUUUAUAGUUUCCUGAAAAGUUUCGUAGUUUCUUGUUGGUACAACAAUGAAAGUGAAAACUUCAAAUUGUGGCUUGUGUUUUUGGAGCUUAGAAGUUGAAUUACAAUCCCCUGAAGUGGAGAAACAAAGUUGAAUUUUUAAAAUAAAGAGAUUGUAGUCCAUUUGAAAUUAUAGAAAAAUUUGCAUUAUAUAUGAUAAAAAAGUACAAUAACAAAAAUAUUUAUUUGUCAUGUUACGCAAUAUUAUACUGCACAUAUCAUAAUAUGUUUGUCAGGAUAUAUUUUCCAGAGUGUCCUAACGAAAAAUGGAAAAGCAUAUAAACUAAGAAAGCAUAGAUAAAGAAUCAAAUAAGUUUCUGGCACAAAAACCCAAAAAUUAGAAAACAAAAAAAAAGGAGAAAAUCUCAGUCCUAUCAGAAGCUUCUGCUCUAUAAAACCAAUUUGUUCAAAAAGAAAAAAAAGAUAAUGCCUUUUCCACUAUCCUACUCAAAUAGCAUCUUUACAUAAGUUCCAGUGGGGAGUGUUAUUCCCUCCUUUUUUUUGGGGGGUGCUUCUGUUGUGAGAAAAGAAUACAAUUCCAAAAAAGAAAAGAGUAUUGCUGCUACUGAGUACACAGGAAGGUCCCAACAAAUACUGCAAAUUUGUUAGCAAUCAUAUGCAUUGCUUACUGGCCAAUUUGGUAGGUAACUCUCCCUUCAGACAGCAUGGCCGGGAUCAAAAUCGAAUUCCGCUUCGAACAGAAAUCAUGCGCCAAGCAUCUUCAAGAAGCGCCUUUUACACUCUCCAUAGCUGACACACACACAACUGGCUCAUCAGUAAUAUUUGAAAAAUUCUUAUGCAACACCGAAAUAUUACUCUAAAUUAAGAAAAGCAAAACCACUGUGCUUGUUCGAAGAUCAUAUAAAUCUUCCCAAUUUUCUCUUAUGAUCUUUAUCACCACUCCAAUUUUAUUCAUCAUUCCGCUUUCCAUCAGAUUCUAGAUCAGAGCUCCUGUAAAACACUCGUCUUUCACAACGAAAUUUCCCAGCUUUUCACUCGACUAUAAAACAUCACUCAUCCAAGAUGAUAUAACUUCUCAACUGUUGAUUUGUGAAUCCUCCUAUUUACUAGUCUUGUUUUUAAUCUACUUCAGAUUCAACAAGGUCCUUCUAAGCCAUCUCCAGGUGCUCAUUACAUUUCCAUCGAAACACAUUAUUAACAAUAACCUAUCCUUAGUUUGAUAAUUAACAACUUUGUCAAACAACAGAGCAAAAAACUGAAUAGAAAUGGAACCUCUCCCUUGACAUCAUUCUAAAUUAAUACAUGCAAAACAACCAAUGGUGAAGUGAUUCGACGAUCAAUAGGAAAAUCAGCCAAUUCCCCAAUUGCCAAACAUAAUGCGAGCAACCUGUUAAUAAUAGAAUCAUUAUAGGAGAUCUAGAUAUGCCAAAGAAGAGAAAAAAAAGUUCACCUGUAAGGUCAUUAUUUCUCUCUUUUCAUCAUAAAAAGAAAAACUACACUAUACAAACCUGAAAUGAAACAGUUAAUUGUCCAUAAGAUAAUGAAGGAAAAAAUUAAUGAAAGGCUGUCAUUCAGGACAAGUAACUACACUAACUAGAAAUGGACAUUUAUCCAAAGAAUAUUUUUAAAACAUAUCUCCUAACUAAGAUUUGUAAGAUAAGAAAACACCAUAUAAUUAAAUAAGAAAAAAACAAAACAUAAAGUUCCAAUUAUUAUUGGAAUCAGCUUUAUAUGGAUCCUAUUUCCCCUCUAAUUUCUGUUUUGUAAUUUUUGUCGUGUUUUUCUUCACCGUCUCCUCUAAUGUCAACUUUAUACUGCUCCUUUCUCUCAAAGCACUCGCAAUACCCAACAAUUUUUUCUCCAUCCAAGGAAUUUCAAGGACCGACUCAUCUUUCCCUUGUAGAUUGAUGGUUCCUGAGAAAAAUUCUUCAAACAUUAAUGCCGACAAGGAUACAGCAUGUAAAGUCUAAGGAAAAGUAAGGAGAAUCACACUACCACUCUCGAUCCAAAAGAUAUCACAGAGGAAAAAAAAAAAGAAAAAACAAGAGACUUACAUAUAUAAACAUAGAUUAAUAUAGUCCCCACUCAGAGUAAUGAAAUUUACUGCUCAAUUAGAAUAUACUGUUUGUAAUCCCAUGCACCUUUUCUUCGACAUUUAAGUGGUUUUUGUUGAAUCAUGCACUUACCUGUAUCCACCCAGUAACAUUUUUCAACAUAUCUGAAUCAAAUUAUGGACCAAUAUCGACUUGUUCAUCAGAUUGGUAAAACUCGCAUUAAAUCUCUAUUUCAAAUAUGUAAAUUGCCGCAUAAAUUGAGUGACAACAAGGGAAAAGAAAAGGAAGAAAGGAAUUAAAGCAUAUUCAUUCAAUUUGUUCCAUUUAUCUUAUUUUACUGCUCCAAAAUUGAUGUUUUACACACAACAAUAGAACACAAAAAUAGAAGAAAUACAUAGAAAAAUGGAUUAAAAUAGUAAAAGAGAAAAGCCCAUUCAAAUUUGUCCAUUUGUGUUAUUUCACUGCUGCUUCUAAAUUGAUAGUGUACACUACAAUUAGCACUCAAAGAGGAAUCCGAGUAAAGGCGAAAGAGAAACCCUAACCUCACUCCAAAACGACCUUAGCGCCGAUAACCUUCAUCUUCUCCACGAUCUUCUCCGCCUCCUCCUUCGCCACCCCCUUCUUCAGCACCGCGGGGGCCUUCUCCACGAGCUCCUUCGCCUCCUUGAGCCCUAGAUCCGUGAACGUCCUCACCUCCUUGAUGAUCUUGAUCUUCGCCGCGGCGUCGAAGCUCUCGAGCUUCAGAUCGAACGCGGUCUUCUCCUCCUUCUUCUCCUCCGCCGCGGCGGCGCCGCCUCCUACGGCGGCGGCGGCGGCGGCGGGGGACAUGCCGGGGGUGAGGAUGGCCAUGGCGGGCAUCUGGUCGACGCCGAGGCGGGCGCGGAGGGCUUCGGUGAGGUCGGCGGCUUCGAGGAGGGUGAGGGAGGAGAUCUCGUCGACGAGUGCGGCGACGCGGGGCGAGGGGGGAGGAGGGGCGAGGGAGGAGAAGGAGGCGAAGGGAGAGGAGAGGAGGGAGGGGCUAGGGUUUCGGAGGGAGAGGAGGCGGAGGAGGUGGGAGAGAGGGGGCCUCAUUAGGGUUUUGGGGAAGUGGGCGGGGAGAGAGGUUUAGAGAGAGAGAGAGAGAGAGAGAGGAUGCGAUCUCUGUGUCGGCUUCGAUACAACAUAAACAACCAUGUUGCACAUUCGGACUCGGAGUCGUCGACGAAUACGCUUCGAUUUGCCGGUUUUACAUAGGCGUCGGGAUUACGCUGAAGUCGGCAGCGAGACUGCUGAAGGUGCAGACGUAGGUAUAUAAGUCGGUGGUGAAGAAGCUACCGGUGCCGAUUUUAUGGAGAGUGGACAGCAACAUACCCUAGGCAUCUAGAAUUCAGUUGCACAGGAUAAAAUAAGACUACUAUUGAUAGAGAAAGGGUUCAGCAGCACAAAGGAGUUGUAAAUUACGACAAAAACAGGAGGCUUAAACCCAUCUCAACAGGAUUAUCUUAACCCCGCGCCUCUGAGUUGCUAAAUGCAAUGUCGAUCCCCCUCUAAUCUUUAUCCAAUUUAAACCCACACGCCAAGCGGGCCACCGAGGGCAUAAAAAGUGUAAACAGAAGCAGUGUUUAUACAGAAGCGCACAUAAAUGCGCCCCUAAGAAGUUCAUCAUAGGCUUACAUGGCCUUUGUCCUGUAUAGAGUAUUUACAUAGAGCAAAACAGGUAACUAGCAAUAAGAAAGAGAUGCAGAUGGUUCACAUUUCUAUCACCAUGAAUAGUAGAAAGCCAUAACAGAAAACCUAAUCAAAAGUAUCAUCAGCUGUUCGAGUAAGUCUUAUAGCAGCGGCAAUCAUAACCAGUAUACAGAGCGCUACACCACUUCCCUUUGCAAGCACCUUGUCGAUAAAACUGUUAAAAGAUCCACAGAAAGAAUAAGCCCCACACCUCUCUAGCAUCUGAAAGCAAAAUAAGCUGUUCUCUGCACCGAAGGUCAUCUCCAUGAACGAAGGCCCUGCGAUCUCAAACCAUCAGUGUGGUGAAUAACCUCAGUCACCUUUUUCUCUGCCAGAUUUAAGAGUAUUUAAAGAGCUUGAACCAGUUGUAAUUUAAGCCUUUUUACUUCGUCUUUCAACUCUCGGCUGUAGCAGAAGCAGAUGCACAGUUCUUAUAGAAAAAGCUCAAGCUUGUACGAGAUACUGCUGCUCCAAACAACGAUGCCCUUGUUGAUUUCAAAAUAUUUACCUCAACAAAAUCCCCGAUUUUAGGGUUUUGCAAGCCAUCAGCUUCAAAUGAGUGCUUUAUAGGGACAUUAAGAAAGGAAACCCUAUGUCCCCUAUCACUUUUGCCGACUAGUUCAGUUUCAGGAGCUCUUUUAUUUGGUCCUUCGACUAAAACAAGUUGAACCGUACCGAUCUGUGAAUCAUACCGCUGUCCUGUGCUUUCUCGAAAAGCUUCAAUGAGUUCAGUAAGUCUUCUUUGCUUAAUACCAUCAGGGACAUCGUCGACGUAAUUUCUAUGCGCAUGAGUUCUUUCUCUCAUACUAUAGGCAAACAUAUAUGCCAUAUCAUACCCAACUGCCCUAAUGAGAGUUAGGGUGUCGGCAUGCUCCUCCUCUGUUUCCCCACAAAAGCCUGCCAAAAAGUAAGAAAAGAAUUUAUCAGUUAGAGAAACUGAGAAUACAACAAAACAUGCAGAUGUACAUCUAAAAAUAUGGAGAGAGAGAGAGAGAGAGAGAGAGAGAGAGAGAAUAAUGGGAUCUAACGUAACAAAUUAGAUUCAUUUAAGGCCGAUUAUGUGAAUUUAGAUGAAGUUUGUGUUUAAUAGAGUCUAAACUGCAUUGGCUCAAUUUGACUUGAGUCAAUUUGUGACUUAAUUGUUGUAAAUUUGAAACUUGAUUGGUGUUAACUCAGUGGCUUGCCUACACAUUGUGAUUGAUCUCGAGGUUCUUUCUUCAAAAAAUCUAAUUCCUUACAAAAUAUACGCAAUCAAGAAUAGAAAAAGAUACAAGAGUUUGUGUAUGUGCCAAGAGAAAAUAAAGGCGGAAUGAAGUGAGGAUUCAGAACUUCAAGUUGCUAAUGAAAAUUUCAGUAAAUAUAAUUUACGGAUGAUUUUAAAUGAGUUUGAAGAAAUUAAGAAAGAAAAAUUGAAUCUCUAAUCAACUUGAGAUGCAGAGAAAAGAAGGUAGUAAGGAGUGUCUUUAAUCAGCAACAAAGUCUGAAAACAAAGAAAAGAAAAUAUAUUAGAAAUGAAAGAGAAUAGAUCAAAAGAAAAUAUAUUAGAAAUGAAAGAGAAUAGGUCAUACAAAACAGAAACGAGGAGAUCGAAAAAUCACAUGCCAUCUAAGGCUCCGUUUCGGAUUGCGUGGAGAUUGCAUUACAUACAGUGGAAAAAUAUGAUGGAAAAAUAUGAUGGAAAAAUAUCUCAUUUAUUUCCGUACAUAAUAUCAUAUUGCACAUAUCAAAAAGAGCCAAUUCCUAUAUAUUUGUUGCGGUACCACCACAAAACAGAGAAGCAUGUCCUUAUACGCUUUUGCAGCCCAAUCUCCAUUUUGCCUAAUGGCGUUAGAUGACCCUCAAUACUAAACAAGCCCUAAAUGACACAUAAUUAGCUUUCUACUAUUGGACAUUGCCACAAAACUUGGUGAAAAUAGUCGCUUGGCAACAACUGUACAGUUCAUAAAUCAUACUGCAAACAAAUUAGUGUUUACAAAUGAUUAAAUUGAUAACCUCAAAAAAGUGCUCAUAUCUUUAAAGCAUGAUAACUAAGGCCAACAAAAAACCACAAACACAUUGUAGAGUAGCUAUAAUGAAUCUAGAAUACCGCUGAUCAAACUUAAUGAUAUAAGCACUAAAAAAUGCACAAGGAACACACAGUAGCAAGACAUUAAUAGCCAAACAACUAUUAUAGAAACAUAAUAUUUAGAAAAACUCAAACAAGUCUUACCACAUAUAAAAUCGCUACUUAACCCCACAUCUGGAAUAAUGUCCCGUAUUUUCUGCACCAAGUCCAAGUAUGCCUCGCGAGUAUAACCUCUCCUCAUUCUCUCAAGAACUGUUGUGCUCCCUGUCUGAGCUGGCAAAUGAAUACUUUGGCAGACAUUAUACCUAUCCCGCAUUAAAUACAGUAAAUCAUCUGGAAAAUCUUUUGGGUGUGGCGAAGUGAAUCUAAACCUCAUUUCCGGAAAUUCAAUUGAUAAUCGAUCCAACAAAUCAGAAAAUCUCAGCCCCAUAUUUUUCACUUUACACAUGCUCGAAAACCCUUCACUUAGCCUCCAAUUAGAACCUGGCUCCAAAUUUUCAACUUCCGAAGCAUCGUUAUAACUGUUGACAUUUUGACCAAGAAGCAUUACUUCCUUCACACCCUCUUUCCAUAAUUCCCCAACCUCUCUAACUAUAGAAUUAACCGGACGGGACCUCUCCCUCCCUCUUGUAAAAGGAACAAUGCAAAACGAACACAUAUUAUUACACCCUCUCAUUAUUGAAACAAAUGCUGUAACUGAAUUGCUUGAGAUCCUUACCGGGCUAAUGUCAGCAUAAGUUUCUUCUACAGAGAGCAGGGUAUUAAUUCCCUUUUGCCCAUACUCAACGGCUUCUAAUAAUCGAGGCAGGUCCCUAUAAGCAUCGGGACCACAAACUACAUCAACCAUCUUAUCAGCGUCAAGUAUUUUUUCUUUCAGUCUCUCAGCCAUGCAUCCCAAAACAACUAUUUUUGGAGGUUGAAAAGAUUUUGACCUUCCAACUGCAACAUUACUCUUCCAUUCCCUUUUCAGAAACCAAAAAUAGUUAAGUCUUUGCCAAACUUUUUGUUCAGCAUUGUCGCGGAUGGCACAGGUGUUAAUAAAGAUGAUCUCAGCACUCUCUGGAUCUUCGACAGUUUCUUGAUAACCUGCAUUUUUCAUGAUGGAUAAUACUAUUUCCAUGUCGUUUAUGUUCAUUUGGCAUCCAUAUGUCUCAUGGUAGAUACGGCCUUUGCUGGUACUUUCUGAAGUCGGUACUAGACUAGAUAAAUCAAAAAACAUAAAAAAUAGUUAAGCUUUAAUUAUAGAUGGCAAAAUUUGCAUGUUCUACCAACUUAAAAUUUUACAGGAGCCUCUAGCGUGCCUGUUUGGCCCCGCUCAUGAUUUCUGCUUUCAACUAAUGCCAUCUCUAACAGAGCAUUUGGCAAAAGAGAAACUUGUAGAGCUUUUGCUACAGUGGAAAGCAGAAAUAAGAUUACAAUCCCCAAAAGCAGAAGACCCAAUUUGGAACUUCUGAUUUGCUUCUGAGAGAAGCAAUUUGGGGGAUAUAAUUAUAAUACUUCCUCUACCAGCACUACUUGAACAACACUCUACACCCAGCAACAGGGCCAACCAUUUCCAUGCAAUUUACAGAGAAAUUCAGUGGAAAAGCUAACACUGCAACAGCACAUAAAAGGUUAGGAAUCAAAUAAUAAAAAUUGAAUGGUACAGAACCACAUCGCAACUACAAUAAAAUGGUUGAGGAUCCGUUUUGAUAUAUGAAGCAUUACUUGUAUCCACAUUACCUAAUAGCUCUUAUCCACUCAAUAUUCAAUAAAAUUCCAAAACCGAUAAGAUAAAUUUCACCAAAAAUUUCUCCCUUUACCCACAAUCUUAGAAUCGAGCUUGUAAAUGAGUUAAUUUACAACAAUAAACUUAAAUAUCAUAUUACAAAUAGGCAUAACGAGAAGAAGAGGAGCUUACUCUUGUUGGGUUUCGGCGGCGACCGCGGCCGCGGAGACGGAGCAAAUGAAGCAGCGGCGGGGGAUUGUUACAUUAGGGUUUUGGAGAGGGACUCGGGAGUAGAGAAAACACUUCAAGAUAGGGCUUUGAGCAGCAGAAGAAGAGGAUGGGGUGGGUCGGAGAGGAUGGGGUGGGGAGAGGGAGGAGGAGGAGGAGCGGUUAGGGUUUGAUGAGGCGAGGGCGAGGAGGUGGCGGCGCCGCCGCCGGAGAGAGAGGUGGGCACCAAUGGCGGAGUGGGGGUGGCGCCAGAGGGAGGAGAGAGGGGCGAGAGAGGAGGAAGACGACGCCAUGGACGGAGGGGGGAGGGAGAGAGAGAGAGAGAGAGAGAGAGAGAGAGAUGAGUGGUGUGGGUUUGGAGGAGGAAGGAGGAGGGGUUGUAGACGAGCCGAAUACGAGGGAGCCGAGCCGAGCUCGAGCUCGGCUUGAUAAUGAACGAGCCGACCUUGAGCCGGUUCAUUCAGUCACAGUCACUAGUUUGGCCUCCAAAUUGAUUUUCAGAUUUAAAAUAAUUUUAAAAUAUAUAUUUUUUUUAUUUNUUUUUUUUUUUUUUUUUUUUUUUUUUGGCUUCGCUAAUUUGUUUCAUUGAAACCAAUGAAUGUAAAAACCAUACUUAUCUUACUUUUUUCCGCCGUUGCUUAUUUAAUUUUUUUAUUUUUAUUUUUAUUUUCUGUAAUUGAUUUUCAUAUUACACAAGGCAAAAAAAAUUAAAUCAAACAACAGAUGCAAUAUUUACAAUCGAAAAUUAUUUUACUCCCUUCCAUUUUCGGUGAAAUAAACACGCAGUCGAAACGUCCGGGAAUGGAAAAGAAAUGAAAAAAAAUUCACUAUCAGUUUUAUUAAUAAGUUACACAUAUUUAAAAUUAAGAAUAUAUAAUAAAAUUGCUAUGUUUUUAUUAUUAUUUUUAUUAAUCUCAUGGUACCAGAAGGUUAAAAUCAUAAUAGAUAAUAAUUUGGUGUUAAUUAAUGUGCAAUAUGUUUGAUUUACUUAAUAAAUUCAUAAGUAAUUCCUCAUUUUUGUGAUUUUAACCAAGAUUAAAAUAAUAAUAAGUAAUUUGAAGAAUUAUUCCUACAACCAAAACUUUUUGUUUUAUGAGUUUUGCUUUGUUUGAAUAAUGAAUAAUCUGAAGAUGUAACCAAUUCGAUUGUUGCUCAAGUCAAAGAUAAGCUACAGUUUAGUCCCUAAGUUUUGUAAUUCAAAGUGCACAAACACCACCACUACAUAUGGCUUUCCAUUUUAGAAGAUAAAGGACUCAGUAAGUUAAAAAAGUAACAAUAAUAAAACUUUUGAACAAAUCCAAACACGAAAUCGAUGGGUCAGAUUCUUGAUUUUACCAAAACCAAAGACGAAAUCAAAUCUCAAAAUUAUAUCAGGAACCAAAUGAUAAUCAAAAUUGAACCUGAUCAGAAAACCUGAAGACCAGGCCUGAUACCAAAACCGGACCCAAACCAUUCAAUUAUUAUACAUACAUUAAAUUUCCAUGUCAAAUGAUGAUUAAGACAUAAUUUGUUAUGCAUGAAAUCGGCUUUUCGUGGAUAUGGAAAUAUGCAGCAGAUGAACAGUUUAUAAGGCAAACCAAAAAGAUACAAUACAUAUUAUUUAUGCGCAAAAGAGGAAAACCAGUUCUAUGAUCUCAUCUCAUCCCCAGCUCUCAUGUAAUACAAACACUAUAUUGAAUCAUCAUUGUUUUGCUUAUCCCUCGAUUUCCCUAUUACAAUUUCUCCGAAAGAUCAUUUAUCGCAUACACUUGAGAAAGUGCAAAAAUGUUAUAUUUUCUUAUGGUUUGAUCGGCGACAUGGGAAAAAUCUGAGUGAACAGAAGAGAAUACAAAUUGCUCAUUCUAAUGCGGAAUAACAAAGCGAGAGAAGUAUUUGCAACAUUCCGAUGCGCUAAAGAGGAAGAGGUCAUGAGGAAGAGCUCUUUACUUUAUGUGAUGGGGGCCGCCGGAGAUUGAGGAGAUGAGAAAGGCCCGCGAUGACAUGCAAACGGCUGGUCGGAACUCCUGUUUUCGCCAAAGCCCUUCCGCGCUUGUCCAAUAGCACAAAGCAAGGAACGUAUUUGAUGUCGUAAUGGAGAAGCUGUACAGGGUCAGGAAAAUACACAUUUACUACGUAAAUGGAGUUCACAACACGGAUAGAAACUUUAAUGAUUGAUGAUUAUCUACACAGGUAAAUUGAAUCACGUAUCCCUAUACUUCUAAAUUGUUAUUAUUAGAUUCCUAUCAUUUGAAUUCCGCUUCAAUCUACGUACUUGUUUGGGCCAGCUUCUGCUCGGCCAAACAGCACGGUGCCCAAUAAUUGUCUGUUUGGAUGAGGUGUGGUAUAUUUUAGAAUCGGAAAAAAAAGGAUGGUCCGCAAACCAGCUGCAGAGGCUCCACUAUUGGAGCUUCUGCGAUGUGGAGAUGGCGGAACGUGGAUUGCCACUUCAUAGCUUUUUCUGAAAAUAACCAGAAUACCCCUAAAGAAAUAAUACAAUUCAAAUCUGUCCAGAAAAAAAUACUCGUCUGUCCAUAAAUGUACUCUCUCUCUUUCCUACCACAAAUAUACUCUCUCUCUCUCUCUCAGGCAGGGGAACCCCUCCCUCCUCUGCUCCCAGAAGGGAAGGCAUCACUCUCCUCCUCUUCUUUUUGUUUGGGGGGGGGNGGAGGGGGCGGGGUUCUCCCCCUUCUCUCUCUCUUUCUCUUAAGUUUCAUGAAAUUUAAUUUAAUUUUUUAUUUAAUUUUGGUAAAACUGUAUAGUAAAGAUGUACUGAGCCCAAUUCAAUCAUGUGCCAUUUUCCAGUGAUUCACUCAACUUUACUUUUUCUCACUAAAAAUAUAGCUUCUAUUUUUUUUUUUUAACUUAUUAAGUUUAAAAAAUUUAUUAAUCUAACAACUCCAUUAAUUUUUAGCCACCACUUGCUUUAAUUAAAUUUGCUAAAAAACAAUUCAAUGAUAGAAUUACUGAUGAAAUUAAUAAAAUUUAAUUAAUAUUGAAAACUAAACUAUAUUUCUUUCAAUUUUCUCUUAAUUUUCAUCUAUUUUACUUUAAGAUACUUUAGUCGAUGAAAUUAGAAACUUGCUUAAGUUAAAUAAUUUAUUAGCUAUCGAUCAUCAAUUAUUAACAAAAUUAGCACUUUUACAACUAAAAAGUAAUUUUAUCUUUAAUACUUCGCAAAAUUAUUAAUUAGUUUAACAAAUUUUUAAUUCAAUUGGAUAAAAUAACUCAAAUCGAAAUAACAGAACAUAAAAGAAGGGAGUACGAAGUUAAAAGAAAUAAAGUUAAGGGACUAUUACACAAUGGCCUAUAAUUGAGGGGUUUUCCAUACACUUCGAUAUUUAAUAAUUAGUUGAUUUUGACAUUUAAAAAUAAUUAGUUGAUUUCUUUUAAUCGAUUUACAACAACAUUUUAUCAGAAUUUUUGCCAAAAAGCUUUCUACAACAAACAACAUUUUUAUAAUAGAAUCAACCAAAUAUUCUACAGCUUUUUUGUUACAGCACUAUACGAUUUCAUAUUGCACUUUUUCAAGAGCACUAUCCCUAAGGCUGGCAAAUGAGCGAGCCGGCUCGCUUUCGACUCGUGUUCGACUCGAUACUUGGCUCGCUCGAGCUCGACUCGAAAUUAAAUGAGCCGAGCUUGAACAAAGAAAAAGGCUUGAAAUUCAUUUCAAGCCAAGCUUAAGUAUUACUCGGCUCGUUCGAAUUAGGCUCGAAAAGCUCGAAAAGCUCGAAUAUAUAUAUAUAUAUAGUAGAGCCACUAUGCUAUCGAAAGUAUAGAGGAUCUGGUGCUUUCGAUUUUUUGAUUCUUAGAUCAACCCCUUUAAUCAUUUCUUAUCUUUGGAUUAAUACUAGUAUUAUCUUGUAGGGACCACUCAAUCUUAGGGGUAUUAUUUAAUUCAGGGGGGGACCGCAAUCAUCCCAACCAUACAAUUCUUAAUCAAAGGGUCAAAAAUUCGAAAACAUCAAAUUCUCUAAAUUUUCAAUAGCAUAGCAGUUGUACACUAUAUAUAUAUAUUAAAAAAUUUAAAAAUAUAAUAUAUUUUAAUUAUAUAUAGGCUGAGUGAAUAAUCUGAGUUUAGUUAAAAUUGGGCCAAUGUUGUUGACCCGUAAAAAUAAACCCAAUAGACAAAUAAAAGAGCAAAAUUUCACUAAAUUUAUACAUUUUUCCUUUCUUUCUUUUUUUCACAGAGCUCUAAAUUUUCAAUAUGUUUCUCUCUUUCUCUUUUUCUGUCUCUCACCCUAAGUGGCCAAGCCGGAAGCCCUCCAAGUUACCAAGUAACAGCAUAUGCCCGCCGUUGCCUACCUUGCUAUUAAUUGUAUGCUUGAGAAAAUAUACAGAAUAUUUUUAAAGUAAAAAAUUAUUAUUCAUAUAAAAUUUUAAUUUUAGUUAUAUAUGAUUGGAUAGUUUAAUCAAAUAUUUACCUAUAUAAUUUAUUUAUUUUUAACUGCAUAAAUGAAAAUGAAUAAUAUGGAGAUUGAAAGCGGAAGAAAAUACAUGUGAGGCUGAAAAAAUUAGAUAUUCAACUCAUAAAUUAUUUUUUCCCAUAUUACAAUACUAUAUUUUAUAUAAUUAUUUUGUACUUUGAACUAUUAGACAUAUUUUUGUAUCAAAUUAUAGAUAAUGUUCUAUACAAAUUAAAUUAUUGAUCGUAUGAUGUUGAGAAUUUCAAGCGGCUCGUUUAGGGCUCGAGCUCGCUCGACUCGAAAUUAGGCUCGCUCGAGCUCGGCUCGAAUUAAUUUCAAUCCAAGCUUGAGCUUAAAUUUAGACUCGAAAUUAAUUUCAAGCCGAAUUUGAGCCGAGGUAAGCUCGCUCGAGCUCGGCUCGUUUCCACCCCUAACUAUCCCCAACAGCUUGGCCAAACCUACAUUAAAUUCAUCAGUUUCUUUAAAUAACAAGUCGAUAAGUUACUUCUCAUACGGUUAGAAGAUGGUUGCAUGAACAUUUACACCUGAUUUGAUGAAGAACCUCUUACUAAACGAGAAAGAUGAUUCAAAACGCAAAAGCUGGUGAUCAAAUUGAAACUAUGUAAGAAAGUUGAGGACCCAUUCUACAAUUUAACCAAAUCGUUAUAGUCCCCUUAAUGUGUUGACACAUAACGAAAGUGAAAAAAUAUACAUUUUGAUUGCAUUCUAGUGGUAGUGUUCGCAUUCUUCAGCAAACUGAAAAAUAAAAAAGCCACCAACUACUUUUGGAAGCAAUAGUAGUGAUUUGAACUUUUUCUAUCUUCCGUUGAUUUUUUUUUGCACCACAAUGAGUAGCCAAUGUUCACAAUAGAAACAACAUGGUUGGAGACUGCACAUAUUGGUUUCCGCGACAACAUGUAUUUACCAUAGGAAAUUUGGACAAUUUUUGGUAUCUUGUAGUUCCUCAUGUAAGAUCCAUAUAAGUUAUAGUAAUAAGUAGUUUCCCGAAUAAGCCAGGCGAUUCUUCCAUUUAUGGACCGAACAACAUAAAGAAUCAUUCAAAGAUUGAAACGGGGAAGUUCAUUAUAUCAUGAGAAGUUAAAUCAGUGGAAUGCCAUAAUUAACAAACGGAAAGUAGUUAACUCCUUACGAAGUUUCUCCCAAACAACAGGCAAAAGAAUGCUCAGACCAUACUUUGAUAGAAGAGUAAGAUAACACGAACCCAACGAAUGCAAUUGUCAAAAUAAUACAAUGAUAGCACUCAUCCUCUAUCUUGUCCGAAAUGUUACCCCAAAGUCACUCUUAUUUCUUACCAAUUGAUCCAAGUUCUCCUAGUAAUGAACUACAAUUAACAAAUGACAGUAGCCUUAUACUUGCCUACAACAUUACAUCCUACUCAAGCAAACAGGUAAAACUAUACAUAUUUUCCUAUGAUUCCAUUUCACUACAUCAAAUUGUGUUAUAUAACCCCAUUAACCUAUCCAAGGCUGAUGAUGAAGCAAUCUUAUCUCCUUUUAUGUACACUAAUAUUUGCUAAUUCAGUUAAUUGAAGGCGUACCAUGAGUAAUCAAUGAGCUUCUCAAGUCAUUUUCUUCAUUGGCGGUAAAGUUUAUAAUAAGACAUGAAAAAUAGAUUCGAGGUAGCACCUAACCAGACAUAUCCACACACACCCCUCAUUUUCUCGAGCAUUUUCUUAUUGAUGUCAUAGAGCACUCAUGCUCAACAAUCUGAUCAAUUAGGGGUAAGAUACAAACUUCAUUGAGGUAAUUCAAUAAGCUACUUUAAAUAAGGGAUCCGGCAAAGUGAAGCGCACUUUUUCCACCUAAAUUCUGGGGGUAAUGCGCAAAACACGAUAUAUCUACAUCCAUGGGAGUGAAGUCAACUACAUUUUAGCCAUAAUUUUUCAGUCCAAUAUCUUUCUACAAAAACCUUACUUGAUUAAGAAAAGUAGAAAUUUGGUUACAUUAGCACAAUUCAAACACAUUUAUAAAAUAUGAUUUACUACAAUUAGAGAGAGAAGAGUAGGAAGAACAUAAAGAGCGCAAUACCUCGGGGAGCCACAUCUCGUUCUCGGCGUCGGCGAGGACGAAAGAGACCCAGUCGGAGUUCCGGGACUCGACGCCGAGCACGAGGUCGAGGAGGGAGGCACAGAGGCGGCACUUGGGGGAGUAGAACUCCACCACCGUCGCCUCCUUCCCGCUCGCCAGCGCCGCCGCGAGGGCCCGGUGCUCCGCCUCCCCCUGCUCCUCCCGCGAUCGCCCCCGCCCCCUCCCCGCCGCCGCCGCCGCCGCCGCCGUAGGGCGCCGCCGCGGAGGAGGAUCGGGGGCGGCGUCGGAGAUGAGGAGGGAUUGGGCGAGGGUGGAGAGGGUGUGGAGGGAGCGGAAGAGCCAGGGGAGCUCCGGGCUCCCGCAGGGGUUGGGGUUGGGGCUAGGGUUAGGGUUAGGGUUGGGAUCCCACGGCCAUUUCCAGCAGAGGAGCGAGGGUUGUGUAGCGGCCCCCAUUUUUCGAUCGAGAGUGCAAAAGCCGAGCUCGGUAGGAAGAAGAUGAACGGGAAAGGUAAUAACUAAAUAGAAUGUGAAAAUGUAUGGAGACCCCUCAACUAUACGAGAUUAUGAAAGACACUCCUCAACCUUCUAUUAUUAUUAUUUUUUUCGUAAAAGCUUAUAGAACUUGCGAAUAAUAUAAAAUCAUUUUGAAUUGACUAUUUACUCUUUCAAAAUUUAAAUUUUACUAUUUAAUUUUUUUUAAUUUAUUUCAUUUGAAUCGAUCAACAGCACUCUGCUUAAAUUAUAAAGUAAAAGUGUCAUUGACUAACUCAAAUUAAAUAAAUUAAAAUUUGGAUGGGAAAAUCAAAAUUUUAAAAGAUUAAAUAUUUGACUAAAAAUGGCUCAUUUUUACUUUUUCCUCCUUUUUUUUUUUUUUGACAAGACGCCCUGAUUUUUGGAAUUGAAUUAUUCCAGUGGCUUUGGAUAAAAAUUUUGUAAAAUUCUAGCUCUAUUUACUAAAAAUUGAUAAAUAUUAUUAAAUUUGAUAAUUAUCAAUAAAUUUGAUAAAAAUGUUAGUUUUCUUUUUUUUAACUAAAUCGCUUAAUUCUGAAAAAAUUGAGGUCCAACCAAAAACAGGCCAUUUGCGAAUUGCCUUUCAGCUUCAUCUUUAAAAGGGUUCAAAUUCACAGCUAUGCAACAAGAAGCCACUGGACAAAAGAAUUUGUAAGGGCUUAUUCAAACAGCUUUCGUGCCGCGUUUAGUCCUGAGAUUUUUCUAAUACUAAUAGAAAAGCAUAAAGUGAUAUGCUUUUACAUUUUUCAAUGAGACUGCAGAAAAUAUAUUAUAACUGAUUCAAUAUGAUAUGUGAAAUGCAAUAUUAUAUACGAAAACAAAUAAAAUAUUUUUUUAUCAAACUUUCUUAUCGCACGUAAUGCAAUCUUCCUAUAAUCCCAAAUAGAGCCUUAUUUCAUUAAAACAAUUGUAGAAGCUCCAGCAUCGCCGCACAGGCCUCUAGUGCAGGGACAGCAAAUAUUGGAAGAUUAAUAAGAAUAUCUCCAAAACCACAUGUUAUCCAACACAAGUUAUUAAUCAACAUAAUUUUGGAAAAAGAGAGCUGUCCCAGCAUCCAAUCUAAGUGAGGCAUCUUAUAAUACAAAAUAUGAAGUUUGAUCAACCAACUAAUUACAAUUUGGCGGGCCGUUAUCUGCCUAGAGAUGAUCAAACUAAACAAACCACUAUCCAUUAUAGUAAAUCUUAUUUCUGGAACAUUAACAGAAAAUUUCGUAAGUUAACAAAAAGGAUCAAAAUUGAGACAGGGCAGCUUUAGUGAUGCACAAAUACAUGCCAGCAUCAGUUCAUGUAGGGUUCCAUUGCGAAGGGUUCCAUCGCGACAAUGCGGUUAAGCGAUCGGUUAGUCGUUUUCCAUAUAAUUCUAGAGAAGACAUGCAAACUGGUUGGUAUGGUCAUUCAUUUAUCUGGGUUUGAGAGGAAUUUGCCGAAAUCGCUUGGGCCUACCUGAAAAAAGAAAAGGAUAUAAUGUAAUUAUCCUUCUUAAUAGUAUCUUGAGAUACUGUGGAGGAUACUUCACGUAUGCGUCAGCAUUAGUGGCAAUUGGAUUAUGGAUAUCUGAAGUGAGAACGAUUGCGUUGUCAUCGCUCCUGAUUUCUGAGUCACUAGCGUCAACCUACGGGAGAAAAGAACUGAACAAGUAAAAAAUAAAAAGUAAGAUAAAACCAGGUAUAUUUCAAAUAUGAUACAGGUAAUUAAAACAGACCAGAUCGUUUACUUCGGUAGGAUUUUGAAUACCCGGUUUAGGGGGCUUCAUGUGACUUCUCAGAAUACCCUGCAGAUUUCAAAGAUCCAACAUUCAAAUUGGAUAGAACAUUCAGGUGAAAAAGUUAAAAAGAAGAAGCCUUUUCUAAAGGUUGGGGAAGAUUUUAAUUACCUUGUUUGCCCACAUCAGCCCGCAAGCAUUGCAAAGAGACCUAGGACCAGCAGGUCCACGACGCAUUGCUGGAGUCAGCUUUUCACUGAUGCCGCAGUUUUGGCAACUGCAAAAAGACACAUGAACAUUAUUAUAUGAAGUAGAGGAAAAAAAAAAGAAAAAAAAAAUCCAAAACUGGUUUCUUCGGUUUUGAAAUUAGUAAGUAGUGAUCUUAAACAGCAGGCAGUUAAGAGAAAUUGGAGAAUGGAAAAGAAGCUGACUUUCUUUCUUGUGGAUUAUCGUCCUGGCUUUUGGCUGGAGGAGAACCACAGCUUGGAGAAGCUGAUGCUUCCACAUCAGGAUUAAUCUUCCCAGCAAAUUGCCCUUUUUGCCUCUUCAUUCUAACAAGAUUGAUCAAAAGGUUUGACAUAAAAGGGGCCAUUAAUAAAGAGUAAGGCUUUUUUUUAUAAAAAAAGCUAGGCCUCGUUGUCUAUGUUUUUUGGAUGGACUUUCCAAUCUCAUUAUUUUUAUUAGCUUGCAAUCUCAUCUCUUCGACAAAAAAAAGAAGCAGAAGAUACUACGAAAUUUCUGUUUUUGUUGCCAAACAAACUUAGGAAGCGUAACAAAUUGUGCAGAAUUUGAGUUCCAUUCCAGACAAUAGAAGCGCAACAAAAUAGGCCCAGUUUUGCCUGCAACAUUGUGUCUUUGUCUACGAUUACUUCUUCUUUUGUUUAUAUAGGGGUAUAUACAGACAUUCAUUACGAAAUAUGUUCAAAGGUUCUAAAUUCUGAUGCACGAUAACACCUGCCGUAUCCAACGAGUACAGAUAUCUGAUGCAUGUUCAAUGCGAGCCAGGCUAAUACAAAAAAGUAUCCAUGAAUUAUAAAAAACCACCACAAACUAAAAAACUUUCUACAUUAACAUAAAAUACGAAGGAACGGUACCUGAGAGCAACUUCUUUGCGGACAGCAUAUCUAAUUUUCUUGUCAAAACACCUUUCCUUUCUCUUCUCGCGAAACCUAUUUAGAGAAGCAAUCCGACUUGUAGGUGCUGUCAUACUCUGUUUAAUAUUUUUAAAGAACUCGAAAUAAAUAACCAAUAACCCUCUGAAAACAUGCAAAAUUCUACUACCAGCUUGCUACGUCGGGGCACUUGCAUGCGUGCCCCUAAAAACCGUGCUUAUUUGCUUUGCAUUAGUGUCUCUGCCGGGGUAUCUAUUUUAAAAUCAUUUUUGCAUAUGUACCCAGCCCCGCCUGAAUCCAAAUAAAGAUAGUUUUUAAAGGAAUGCAGCCAAGUACCAACUUCACAAGAGUGUUCGCAUAACGGCAAAUAUUUUGCAAAUGUGAAUAUAUGCAAAAAAAAAAAAAAAAAAAAAAAAAAAAAAAAAAAAAACCCUAAAAAUUAAGUUCCAAUAAGAGAGAGCACCUCGUCUACAUUGAUAGGGGGAACCGCCAAAGUAACUGCACUAGAGGGCACUUCACACCCUCCCAACAGUAAUAGCACCGCUUGCACCUGCAGCACAAUCAUCCAAUCAGAGAAGAAGAUAAUGUUACAAGGGAAUAAACUAAAAACAAAAGCAAAAUUAAUUUGCCAAAUCGCAUAAAAGUAAGAAGUUAAGAAGCACGAGCAAACCAUGAAGACAAAGAGCAUAUAUAUAUAUAUAUAGUAAUUGCAUCGAAAAAUAAAGGCCAUUUGUAGAGCUCUGUCAUGCUUCAGUAGGUGAAAAUUAACAAUAAAUUUUCCAACCAAGGAAAGAAAGGAAAAAAAAGGGCGGCAAAGAAACAAUGUUGCAUCAACAAAAGAACAACUGAAAGAUCCUAAAAUAUGAGAAGUCUCAAUAAAUUCGAUAUGCUACUUCAUGAAACUUCACUUGCUCACACUCCUCUUAUGUGAAGCCAUUGAAUACUCAGUUGCAGUAAUCAAUGGUUCUCUCGGCCAUCAAAUGAUUCACUAGAAACUAAAUUGGCUCUCUUGGUCAUCAAAUGAUUCAGAAUAAACUAAAUUUGUAGCACAUCCGCUGGACGCCUCACAACAUAUAAUUCCAACCUAAAGGUAAAAUUGUGCUAUACCCUAACAACUCUUGAUUCCUUUGAUUCAGUUAUUUCGAUCGAUUAAAAUGGGGAUUUUGUUACAUUGUGAUCGGCUGAUAGCUGAUUGAGCAUUUCAUUAGAACAAAGUACUGAUUUCAAUUUAUGAAAAUAACUCAAAUCAAAACGAUUCCGAAGUUGAGGGAGUGAUAUGAAAUAAAAUUUUAAAAAAAGUCAAGCUGAAGGGCCCAUUUCAAAACAACAUAAGGUCGAGGUAGGAUAAAGUGUUUUUUAUAAAGAAUACAAUGAAAUGUUUGAUCCUACGAUUUAACCACAAAAAAAAGAGGAAAAUUUUACCCAAAAUUCAACUCGCUUCCUCACCAAAUAGCCCAACCAAAACCAAAAUUUACAUGAAAAAAAAAAAUUAAAAAAAGGGAAAACCUAAAAGGAGAGAUAGAUAGUAAUGUCCGCAAUGUAGCAUAUCAACGUUUAAUUUAGAACGAAAACAAUAACAAAUAGUGAUAUGGCGAGUGGAUUGAGAGACUAGGGAUAGGACCUUCUCGGGGGAGACGGAUUCGAAGACGUAGACCUCGCCCUGGUACAAGAGCGUGAGCUGGUUCGAGGCGACGCCGCCCCCGCCCACCACCACCAUCGGCGCCGACGCCUCCUCCUCCUCCUCCUCCUCCUCCUCCUCCUCCGCCGCCGCCGCAUCGUCGCCGGCGGCGCAAUCCUCCGCCGCCGCCGGAAUCGCCGACGGUAGGCGAGCGGGCGAUUCUGGCCCCUCGGAGCUGAUCGGCUCCGGCAAUCGGCGCGAGCGGUGAUGAUGGCGAGAGGGGAGGUAGAACGAGGCGAUGGGAGGAGGGAGGGGCGCGGUGGGGACUGGGAGCGGUGUAGCGCCGAGAUCGGGGCAUCGUGCGAUGAGUCGAAGAGCGAAUCGGACGCGUCUGGAUUUGAUAGUGCGUGUGACGUUAGGCGUCGGAUUCCGAGAUAUCUAUGGAGAGCGUCCAUAAUACGCGUGUGCAUCUUACUCCAAGGCACUUUAGAUCACAUUAUGCACGCCAUUUUUCUUUUUUUCUUUUUUUGAAUACUAUAUUAUUUAAUUCAUAGGCCUUUUUGCAUAAAAAAUUCACUUAAUUUUGAUUUUUUGCAAAAUCGCACCAUCCUUUUCAAAUUUUGCAGAUUCGGUCACUUUUCAGGCAAACGACCAAAAAAUACCCUUAUAUACUUUUUCCUCUCUCCUCUUUUUUUCUCUCAAUCGCCUUUUUCGAUCCCAAUCGUCGCGGACACAACCCUCACCCAUGACCGACUCCCCCUUCUCCUCGCACUCCUCGUUCCGCCCCUACCCCUACCGCUCCGCCGCCGUGCCAGAUGCCGCGAACAGAGGAGGAGCAACGGCGUUGGUGGAGGAGAAUGAAGCGACUGCGGCAGAGCAAUCGCCGGUUGGCGGCGGAGCCAACGCGCGGUGGUCGGCGGAGCUGGCCGAGCUUCGCCGGCUCUCCGCUUGUCGGCAGCGCCGUGGCCUGGCGGCUGGCCUCUGUCGACCAGUCGCAGGGUCGGCGCCGCCAAGCCCGAGCUCAACAGCGGAGCACCACCUAGAGGCAGCCUCCCUCACAUCGGCCACGAGACUUUCGACACGACGCGCCGCAAGAUGGGCUGCUAGGGCGGUACGCUGUCGCGCGACUCUGCCAAGUCGCGCGGCGUGUAAAAGUCUCGCAUCGUCCGACGACGCCAUUCGCGCCGCGCGCGCCGCGAGGCGGUGCGAAUAGUGGGCGCUCCCCCCGUCCAGCGGAGAUGAGUGAGUCGGCGUCUGCUCCCUUCUCCGCAGGGAGAAGAAGAAGAAAAUGAAAAAAAAGAAAAAAUGAAAAAGAUCCAACGCAUGUUUCUUCUCCGUCGGCGAGAUGGUGUAAUGGUGUAAUCGGCCGUAAAUGGUGGUAAGGUGUUAAUUGGUAAGGUAAGGGUGUAAUGGGUGUAAUGUAAUGGUGUAUAUGGUUGUAAUAGUUAAUGGGUAUAGUGUAAUGGUAAUUGGAUGUAAUGGUGUUGGUGAAUGGUGUAAUGUGUAAAUUCUAUCGCUUCUUUUUUCUUGCCGCGCCCGCAGUUCUCAGCCGGCCGCCGGCCAUGCGGAGAGUGCCGGGGGGCCGCGAGGGGUGCGGUCGCCGGGGGGAGCGAGGAGGUGCAGGUUCGUGAACACGACGUGAGGCGGAACGGCGCAGGAUCGAGGGAGAACGGCGGCGCGGCAAGAAAAAAAAAAAGAAAAUCCGCUGGCCGCGGCCGGCGGCGGAGGGAGCGGCGUGGGCGUCAAGGUGCGGCGUCACCGGGGGCGAGGAGGGUUGGCGGUUCGGAAUGACUGGCAGACGGUGAUGGGCGGCGCAAGGGGAUCGAGGAGAACGGCGGGGGCGGCGAGAAAAAAAAAACAUAACGAUCAAGAAACACUUUGAGAAAGAGAGAAAGAGAAAAGAGAAAAGUACCAUAAGGAUAUUUUGGUCCAGGCGGGACGAGAAAAGCGGAACCGAAUCUGGCAAAAAACGAAAAGGUGGCCCGUUUUGCAAAAGCCUCAAAUAAGUGAAUUUUUUAUGCAAAUUGGCCUAUAUUAUAUGCUAUAUAUAUAAUACAUUAAACUAUAGGCCCUUUUCAUUAACACGGCCAAUUGCAUAAAAAGAAUCUACUUAUUUUGGGCUUUGCAAAAUCGGGCCACCUUUUUCAUUUUUGGGCACAAUUCGGUCAGCUUUUCAGCAAACUAACAAAUACCGCUAUUACUUUUCUCUUCCUCUUUCUCUCUCUUUCUCGUUCCUAGUUCUUUUUUUUUCUCCCGGUAAAGCGAGGCAGAAACGGUCCGUGCAUCGCCUCUCACGGCCCAUCUGCUCGCGGCCCUCCCCUGCCCUCGUCCAGCAACUUGUCCCUACUUCCUCGCCGUUCCGACCCCGUUAAAAGCUGCGCGGACUUUUUUUUUUUUUUGGCUUUUUUCUUUCUUUUCUCUCCGACUGCUUCUCCAACCGUCUCCGAACACGACGGCCUCUCGGCCCUUGUAAACCCGCGCCGCUCCCUCAUCUCUCCCUCAUCCUCAUUGUGUCCUGCCGGCCUCCGACGAUGAUUUAUCUCGCCGCAGCCGAUGUCGACACCGGUAGAGGUCACUAGCGGCGCAGCAGCCUGAGCGGGGGGUCCUAGCGGCGUCCGUCACCGCGUCGGUCACCCAGCGUCGUCACCGGCGCCUAGCUGUGUAGAGAAAGGUGACAAAAAUUAUAGAAAAAAACAGAAAAAAAAUUAAGAUAAAAAAAUUAUAUAUAAAUAGAAGAAUGAAGAUUGAAAUUACAUCGUUAAUUACAAAAAAAAUUAUAAGUGCAUAUGUAAGAUGUAAAUUCUGCAUUAAAUAAAAUAUUAACAUUUUUUUUUUUUUUUUUUUUUUUUUUUUUUAUUUUUUUUUUUUUUUUUUUUUUUUUUUUUUUUUUUUUUUUUUUUUUUUUUUUAUUUUUUUUUUUUUUUAUUUUUUUUUUUUUUUUUUUUUUUG